GAAGCGGCAACAGCUCAAAUUUGAAAUCUGGCUCUCGGGCCCGAGUUGUAAUUUGUAGAGGAUGCUUUUGGUGAGGUGCCUUCCGAGUUCCCUGGAACGGGACGCCAUAGAGGGUGAGAGCCCCGUCUGGUUGGACACCGAUCCUCUGUAAAGCUCCUUCGACGAGUCGAGUAGUUUGGGAAUGCUGCUCUAAAUGGGAGGUAUAUGUCUUCUAAAGCUAAAUAMCGSCCAGAGACCGAUAGCGCACAAGUAGAGUGAUCGAAAGAUGAAAAGAACUUUGAAAAGAGAGUUAAACAGUACGUGAAAUUGUUGAAAGGGAAGCGCUUGUGACCAGACUUGGGCUUGGUUGAUCAUCCGGGGUUCUCCCYGGUGCACUCUUCCGGCCCAGGCCAGCAUCAGUUCGCCCUGGGGGACAAAGGCUUCGGGAAUGYGGCUCUCUCCGGGGAGUGUUAUAGCCCGMUGCGUARUACCCUGUGGCGGACUGAGGUUCGCGCAUUCGCAAGGAU
rnacentral:rRNA from 1 species